rnacentral:rRNA from 2 species
UCCGUAGGUGAACCUGCGGAAGGAUCAUUAAAGAUUCUAAGGCUUCGGUCUUAAUUUCGGCUGUGCGCUCAGGCUGCACGCCGAUAACCUCUCACACCUGUGCACCUUUUCGGUUGCGGUUUCGGCCGCUUCCGCUUUUACAUGCAACCACGAAAAGUCUAGAAUGUGACGAGAACUAUAAAGUAACAACUUUCAACAACGGAUCUCUUGGCUCUCGCAUCGAUGAAGAACGCAGCGAAAUGCGAUAAGUAAUGUGAAUUGCAGAAUUCAGUGAAUCAUCGAAUCUUUGAACGCACCUUGCGCUCCUUGGUAUUCCAUGGAGCAUGCCUGUUUGAGUGUCACGUAAACCCUCACCCCUGUGAUGUAACAGUCGCCUGCGGUGGACUUGGACCGUGCCGGUAAUCGGCUCGUCUUGAAAUGCAUUAGCUGGCGCUUUUAGAGUGCUGGGCGAACGGUGUGAUAAUUAUCUGCGCCGACUGCCCUGGGCCUCUUCAGCGGCGCUGCUUACAGCCGUCCCUUGUGGACAACUAUUUUAAAGCUUUGGCCUCAAAUCAGGUAGGACUACCCGCUGAACUUAAGCAUAUCAAUAAGCGGAGGA